rnacentral:rRNA from 1 species
GACAGAGGGUGCAAACGUUGUUCGGAAUCACUGGGCGUAAAGGGCGCGUAGGCGGCCAUUUAAGUCGGGGGUGAAAGCCUGUGGCUCAACCACAGAAUUGCCUUCGAUACUGGAUGGCUUGAGUUCGGUAGAGGUUGGUGGAACUGCGAGUGUAGAGGUGAAAUUCGUAGAUAUUCGCAAGAACACCGGUGGCGAAGGCGGCCAACUGGACCGACACUGACGCUGAGGCGCGAAAGCGUGGGGAGCAAACAGG